GUGGGCUUAGCUCAGUUGGUUAGAGUGCCAGAUUGUGACUCUGGAGGUCGAGGGUUCAACUCCCUUAGCUCACCCCA
rnacentral:tRNA from 1 species